AACGAACGCUGGCGGCGUGGAUAAGACAUGCAAGUCGAACGGGAACUUCAGCUGUAGCAAUACAGUUGAAGUUUUAGUGGCGAACGGGUGCGUAACACGUGGGCAAUCUGCCGAGAAGUGGGGGAUAGCUCGCCGAAAGGCGAAUUAAUACCGCAUAUGAUCAGCUAAGACAUCUUAGCGACAUCAAAGCCGGGGCAACCUGGCGCUUUUUGAGGAGCCCGCGGCCUAUCAGCUAGUUGGUGAGGUAACGGCUCACCAAGGCUAUGACGGGUAGCUGGUCUGAGAGGACGACCAGUCACACUGGAACUGAGACACGGUCCAGACACCUACGGGUGGCAGCAGUCGAGAAUUUUUCUCAAUGGGGCAACCCUGAAGGAGCGACGCGCGUGGAGGAUGAAGGCUUUCGGGUUGUAAACUCCUGUCAUUUGAGAACAAGGUGCAUCGGUUAACUGCC
rnacentral:rRNA from 1 species